UGCCUACGGGGCGCAGCAGUGGGGAAUAUUGGGCAAUGGGCGCAAGCCUGACCCAGCAACGCCGCGUGAAGGAAGAAGGCUUUCGGGUUGUAAACUUCUUUUCUCAGGGACGAAGAAAGUGACGGUACCUGAGGAAUAAGCCACGGCUAACUACGUGCCAGCAGCCGCGGUAAUACGUAGGUGGCAAGCGUUAUCCGGAUUUACUGGGUGUAAAGGGCGUGUAGGCGGGACUGCAAGUCAGAUGUGAAAACCACGGGCUCAACCUGUGGCCUGCAUUUGAAACUGUAGUUCU
rnacentral:rRNA from 1 species